CGACGCUGGCGGCGUGGAUUAGGCAUGCAAGUCGAACGGUAUGGACCUUUCGGGGUUCAGAGAGUGGCGAACGGGUAGAGUAACACGUAGGUAAUCUACCCUCAAGACGGGGACAACCCAGGGAAACUUGGGCUAAUACCGGAUGUGUGUAGUGGCUAUUUUCUGAUUAUCAUUAUUUACGUAAGUGAGUAAUAAUAAGAAGGGAAAGUGGUUAUUACAUAAAAGGUGGCGUAAGCUGCCGCUUGGGGAUGAGCCUGCGUCCUAUUAGUUAGUUGGUGAGGUAACGGCUUACCAAGGCGAUGAUAGGUAGGCGGCCUUAACGGGUGGUCGCCCACACUGGGAUUGAGAUACGGCCCAGACUCCUACGGGAGGCAGCAGUCGAGAAUAGUCUACAAUGGACGGAAGUCUGAUAGUGCGACGCCGCGUGAACGAAGAAUCCCUUCGGGGUGUAAAGUUCUUUUAUACGUGAGCAGUGUCCUUUAUAUUAAUAGUAUAAGGGGAGAGAUAUUAGCGUAUGAAUAAGCAACGGCUAACUCCGUG
rnacentral:rRNA from 1 species